rnacentral:rRNA from 1 species
UGAGGAAUAUUGGGCAAUGCCCGAAAGGGUGACCCAGCAACGCCGCGUGGAGGAUGAAGGUCGUAAGAUUGUAAACUCCUGUUAGAGGGGAAGAAUAACUAAGCUUGGAGCUUGGUAUGACUGUACCCUCAGAGAAAGCCCCGGCUAACUACGUGCCAGCAGCCGCGGUAAUACGUAGGGGGCAAGCGUUGUCCGGAUUUACUGGGUGUAAAGGGCGCGCAGGCGGAAUGGAAAGUCAGUGGUGAAAUCCUACAGCUUAACUGUAGAACUGCCUUUGAUACUUUCAUGCUUGAGUUCGGGAGAGAGAGACGGAAUUCCAGGUGUAGUGGUGAAAUACGUAGAUAUCUGGAAGAACACCAGUUGCGAAGGCGGUCUCUUGGUCCGAUACUGACGCUGAGGCGCGAAAGCGUGGGGAGCAAACAG